CGGAUAGAGCCAGCGAAGUCGCUCGUAUUCAGCCAAAAGUCUGGGGUUGCCUGUCGUCGUGUUUCUAAUCGAGCACGGCGGUUUGUCUUCUCCGGAUUGAGGUGCAUUUGCGGGCGUUUGCGCUGAGACUUGCGAGGCAGCUGCGGGACCGGCGUCUAGAGGCUUCCCAUUGGGUUGAACCUGGGCGCCGUUACAGCUGUUUGCCUUGCUCGUACUGGUCUGGCCUACGGACCCUGCUCGUGCUGUUGUCAACUGGCCAAGGCAUCGCAUGCGAUGUCUAGCCUGGGGGCUGCAGCGCGGGUUGGUGUCCCCGGAUCGCCUCUCGGUGUAGAAGCUGGUCAUCUCUCCGACCCGUCUUGAAACACGGACCAAGGAGUUUAGCGUAUGCGCGAGUCAUUGGGUGUUAAAACUCACAGGCGCAAUGAAAGUGAAGGCUCGGUCGCCGGGCUGACAUGCGAGUGCCGCGGCUUCGGCCUAGGCAUGCAGCAUGGUCCCAUUGCAAUCGUUUACGAUACAGUGGAGACAGAGCGUAUGCGCUGAG
rnacentral:rRNA from 1 species